AACGAACGCUGGCGGCGUGCUUAACACAUGCAAGUCGAACGCGAAAUUUUUCUUCGGAAAGAAAGUAGAGUGGCGCACGGGUGAGUAACGCGUAAGUAAUCUACCCUGGCAUCUGGAAUAACUCACCGAAAGGUGUGCUAAUACCGGAUACGUUGAGAGAUCAAGAAAGGUGGCCUCUGCAUAUGCUACUGUGCUGGGAUGAGCUUGGGUACCAUUAGCUAGUUGGUAGGGUAAUGGCCUACCAAGGCGACGAUGGUUAGCGGGUCUGAGAGGAUGAUCCGCCACACUGGAACUGGAACACGGACCAGACUCCUACGGGAGGCAGCAGUGAGGAAUAUUGCGCAAUGGGGGCAACCCUGACGCAGCGACGCCGCGUGGAUGGUGAAGGCCUUCGGGUCGUAAAAUCCUGUCAAGUGGAAAGAAGUGCAUGGUGGCUAAUAUCCAUCAUGUUUGACGGUACCACAGAAGGAAGCACCGGCUAACUCCGUGCCAGCAGCCGCCGUAAGAC
rnacentral:rRNA from 1 species